UACGAAGGGGGCUAGCGGUGUUCGGAAUUACUGGGCGUAAAGGGCGCGUAGGCGGCCUGACAAGUCAGAGGUGAAAGUCCUGGGCUCAACCUGGGGACUGCCUUUGAAACUGUCGGGCUUGAGACCGGGAGAGGUGAGUGGAAUUCCCAGUGUAGAGGUGAAAUUCGUAGAUAUUGGGAAGAACACCAGUGGCGAAUUCGCCUCACUGUACCGGUUCUGACGCUGAGGCGCGAAAUCGUGGGGAGCAAACAGG
rnacentral:rRNA from 1 species